UGGAUGAUGUGGAUUAAUUCGAUGCAACGCGAAGAACUUUACCUACCCUUGACAUGUCCGGAACUUGCCAGAGAUGGCUUGGUGCCCGAAAGGAAUCGGAACACAGGUGCUGCAUGGCUGUCGUCAGCUCGUGUCGUGAGAUGUUGGGUUAACCGUCCCGCAACGAGCGCAACCCUUAUCAUUAGUUGCUACGCAAGGGCACUCUAAUGAGACUGCCGGUGACAAACCGGAGGAAGGUGGGGAUGACGUCAAGUCCUCAUGGCCCUUAUGGGUAGGGCUUCACACGUCAUACAAUGGCUGGUACAAAGGGUUGCCAACCCGCGAGGGGGAGCCAAUCCCAUAAAGCCAGUCGUAGUCCGGAUCGCAGUCUGCAACUCGACUGCGUGAAGUCGGAAUCGCUAGUAGUCGUGGAUCAGCAUGUCACGGUGAAUACGUUCCCGGGUCUU
rnacentral:rRNA from 1 species